GAUUCACUCUUCCUGUUUACUUUUGGAAUACUCUCCAAAUCCAUAAGCAAAAGAGUUGAAUAGAAGAAGGAGAGAGGAAGAAAAAGAAUAAAAGAAAAAAGAAGACAGGAGAGAGGAAGAAGAAGGAAAAUGAUUAAUGUCCUGUUAUCCCCACCUGCAAACCUGGCUGGAGUUGAUAACAAAACCUUUACUGCUGUUCUCUGGUAGCCUUUUCUAUGUGCCAUAGGGAUGUGGUUUCUGAAGGAAAUGAGUUCUAGGUUUUUCUCACAAAUAUCCAAAAGUAGAACAGUGGGGAUCUUGACUACUAAUCACCCCACAUAACAACAGGACCACAGUGGUGGAAUGUGGCUAAUGGGACUAGAAUCUUCUGCUUACUCAUUCGCUUUGGGAAUUAAAUUGUUCUUAGACUUGGUAUGCUGGUGGACUAAAUGUUUUAAUAAAAACAGCCACGAGACACCAGUUUUCUUUGCAAAGGCUUUUCCUUCUAACCACUCUGAAUAUAUUGCUGAGAGGUUCCUGCUUCUGGAAGACCAUCUGUGAGGCGCUUAGACUUACCUGAAAUUUCAGGGCACUAUGUCAGCCAGUUCCUUCACAGUGGUGUGUCUGGCGCCUGAACAAGGACUUGGUGGGCCAGACACAUUUAAAAUGUAAAAGGAGAUUAUAAUAUUAUUUUGCAUUGCAACAGUUAGAGUAUUUCUGGCUAGUUGCUGACAAGUCGAUCAUAAUAACCAUGCGUGGUGCAACAAACCACACGGCACUGUAUCAGAAGCUUAGAGUUACUAUCUUCAAAUGACCCAGAGAUUUUUUUGAAAAAGAGAAAUGGUGGAUGCUUUUUUCCCCCAUUCAGUAAGCAUAUAUUGAAUGCCUAUUGUCAGUGAUGGCCUCUUUAUUCACAGAAGGGAGCUGGGCUAUGCCAGACUCUCACCAUGUUCUUUCCUCUUUAACACUGAACAAAAUAUCAGUAAAACACCAAGUACUACAGCUUUUUUUGAACCUGAUAGGCAAUCAGUAUGUAGUAACUGGCCAUGCUGAUGAGAGUAGGAACUGGUGAUACUGAUAGCAAUGGGAAUGCAUUCCUCACAAAGGCACAGCAGUUUAAGAACAUUUCAGGGACAAUUCGGGGCGGGGGCGGUAAAUGAGCAGAUCUGGUCUGACCUAUUUACAUGUUCCAACAAAUGUCUAGAACUCUAGAUACCUUGAAAAAUCUGAGAACAUGAUCAUGCCAUUUUUAUGGGGAUGACAGAAUUCUUACGGAAAAGACUUGUAUAUGUUUAUCUAGUGAGCUUCUCUAUUUGUAGAAUACUCAGAAUACCUCUGAGAACCCAUCUUAAUUUUUAGAAUCAUUUAUAAGAAUCUGACAACUUAUUAUUAUAAAAUAAACUUCAAAGCAAUUACUUGAGAAGCUUGUUGACAAUCAAGAUACACAAAGUCCUGUCAGUGGGAUAAGGCAAAGUUAGAGUUCUCUAAAAUGGUUACAGAGAAGUGGGAAAAUGACAGAGUGGUUUGGCUGGAAGGCAUCUGACUAUAAAUCAGAAGAUCUAGGCCCCCAGCCAUAUGUGGCAACUGUUGCAUGAUCUUACAAGUCAUCAAACCUCUCCUGAGUCUCACUUUUCUCAUGUGUAAAAUGGGAGUGUUGGAUUAGGUGGUCUUUAAGAGUCUCUCUAGUUAUAACAUUUGAUGAUUUUAAAGUAAGAAAAGACCACAGAAUAAUUCCCUCUAAUUUGGUAAACACGUUGCUUUCUCCUGAGCUGUGUCUAUGUGGUUUGCAUUGGGUUUUAUGUUUCUGGGCUCUAGAAGUCACAUAGUAAAUAUUCGAGUCAUUCUUCCUUCUAUACAUGGGAAAAUUAGAAGAGAAUAAUUCUUCCUUUCUUUCUAUGUCAAUCUCUGUUUUCCAAUCAGACUUACAAGCUUAAGAUAAGGACACAAUCAUUCUGUUACUGACGAAGGCUCUUCCUCAUCUUUGUCACAGGCCCUUACUCAUGCUCAUGCAAGCUUAUCUGAUUGGGUUAUUUCUGUAUUUAUGUCCUGGCUAUUUUUUCUCUUUCAACUUGUUUAUGAAAUCCCUGGUAAGCAUAAAGCCGCAAAAACAAAAACAAAUAAAACAAAACAGCUCUGUUUGAAUAAUUUUCUUCAGUAAAGGCAGUAUAAGAAAACAUUCUAACACUCAGGGAAAAAAAAUCUUUUAAAAAUACUCCUAUAUCUUAGAAAAGAUGAAAUAAAAUGUUAUAUCAAUGAUAGUUUCAUACGUUGUUACUGCUUUUCAUUUUCCAAGAGAAUGUUACAUAUUGAGUUUAUAGUCUGGUGUGCAGAUGUGGAUAUUUCUCCCAAUAUUUCUCAGGCCACUGCAUCCUUGAAGCCAAGAAGGCCCAGAGCUUGCUGAGGUAGCUUUACACGGACAAAGGAACUACACAAAAAACCCAAUACCUGGAGCUUAUAUCGUAUACUGACUAGGCACUCCCGUCACUCAUGACUCACUCUUUCCCAUCUCUGUCCUGUUCCUCUACUGAUUUCAUUCUCUUCACCUAGAAUGCCCUCCGUUUGCCUCCCUUUACGGCUCAAAAUGUCCCCUAUCUUUCAAGACCCACCUAGCUCAAGCCCCAUCUCCAAGAAGCAACUUAAGUUGACCCAUCUUAGGACCCAGUGAUAAUUUUCAUGGCUAGAAAGCGUUCAUUAGCCCUUGUGAUAACUGGAGUCACUUACAACACAUAUCUAGCACGUGCUCAGAGAACACUGGGGAAAAAGAUUGUGAAGAGUGGCAGGGUCCUUGUAAAACGGAAAAAAAAAAAACGCUAGCUUUAAGAAUAGGCCCAAUAUAGUAGCUGCGGUACAUGAGAGAAAAGUUGUAGCUUUGUAAAGAAAAGUUGUAGCCUUGUACAGAGGGAUUAUUUUAGAAUGGCCUGACUUUGCGCUUUUUUUUUUAACAAAGGAAAAGAGAUAUAAUAUCUUAAAAGAAGGAGUUAAGACAUUGAAUAUGGCAACAUACAGUCUUCUAAAGUUCAAAAAUAUUAAUUAUGAAGCUAAAAUGUCAAGAUUUUACUAGGAACACUACGGAGCACAGCUGAAACAGGCAAAGACAGAGGUAUGGGCAUAGAAUCUGAAUUUCACCUACCCUGAGUCCCCCUCAGUCUGAUGGCUCUGCCAUGCAUUGUGAUAAACCCCGACAGUGCUUAGCUGGGCUGAAGCGAUGGCCCGUGGUAUAUUCUGAUAGUGAAAGAUAGAAUGACGCUCAGAAAUGCUGGAUGCUGUUAGAUAUGUAUAUGAUUUUAUUUAUGUGUAUAUUUUUAUAUCUAUAUAUACAAACAUAUAUAUUUGUAUGAUGUUUGGCAACCUCACUCAUGGUAUUCCUGUGAAGGAGGCAUGUGGUAAACAUAAUUAGCCCAUUAAACAGAUGGUAUGGCUCUGGCAUAGCUCACUAUAUUCUAAAAUGGUGGAGCUGUGAGCAGGGGCUGAAGACAGAGUGCAGUCUGAUACACGGUUAACUGCGAAUCUCUGUGAAUUGCUGCUUUCUAAAGACAAUCUGGGUAGGCUACACUUGGCUGAGAAUUGGCGAUGGUUUGGGAAGCUUUAAAAAUAUACAAGGGGACAACGUUCACAUUCAUUCAGAUAUAGUAUCUUCAUUUUUACUUACUAGAGACAUUUUUUGAAAAAUAGCUUUUUAUCUUAACUCAUCUGUGUUCCAAGCAAACUCCCAAAUUGCUGAGCAGAUUAAAAAAAAAAACCCUACAUGCCAAGUAGAAACACUGGGUACAUUUUUUUUAAUUGUCUUAACAAAGUGCACUAUUGGAAAGGAUAAAGUUGAAAGAGGUUUGGUACCACACACAUAAACUCAUAGUCAUUGUAGAGUUCUGCAUGAGGUGCCAUUUUACCUGGCUGGAUUGUGUAUGCUGUGGCAUUGCCACUCCAUGGUACGGCUGGCUUCACCGAACCUGAAAUUAAAUAUUGUAGCCCAAUUCUUUUUUUUUUUUUCGUGAGGAAGAUUAGCUCUGGGCUAACAUCCAUUGCCAAUCUUCCUCUUUUUUUGCUUGAGGGAGAUUAGCCCUCAGCUAACAUUCAUGCCAUCUUCCUCAACUUUGUAUAUGGGAUGCCUCCACAGCAUGGCUGAUGAGUGGAGUAGGUCCACACCGGGGAUCCGAACCCCAGCACUGGGCCUCCGUAGCAGAGCGUACGAAACUUUAACCACUCAGCUCUGGGGCCGGUGCCUCUAGCCCACUUCUUUGUCAGCUGAAACAGGGGCUAGCAGAAGUGAAAGGGUUACUAAAAGUUAAGACUUGAAUUUACAAAUGUAUUUGAACUGGCUUCCAGAAGACAUGAAACAUCAAUACAUCUGGAGAGGAGAACUUGCAAUUGACUGUUCUUUAGCAUCUGGUCUCAAGAACAUUUGCUGCUUGGAAGUUGCAUAAGCAGUGAAAAAACACACAAACAGCUUCCUGUACCAUGCUUUUGGUCACUUAUAAUGACGCAUUACAAAGUAAAACAGCUAAAUGUGAGCAACUGUGCCUUACUCCAGAUGACAACAUACGUUAUAUAACUAAGAUCAAUGACAGAGGACAUCUUUAUUUUAAGAGAUCUAGACUUGAAAAAAUAGUCAAAAAUAAAUAUCCUUCCUUCCAAGGUGUUUGUCUCGAGUAAUUUUGGCUAGAUUUGUUUUUAAUGUCCCUGAAAAACCACUUCUAAUUUUUUCCAAAUUAAAAAAAGAACAACAAAAAAAGCCAUCCUGGGGAAUGAAAUGUUCCAUAUAUAAUUUUUUUAAUGACAUAAACUUGCCACUUUAAGUAAUAAAAUAUGUUUUACACUUUUUUAAUAGAAAACUUUAAUAUAUCCUUGUUUGCUUAAACUGAGCAUGCUGAUAUCAUUUAUAUUUUUUUCUUAUGAAACAGGGUCAUCCUUGUGAACGCUCACUCCUCCUGUUCUUCAAUAAUACAUUUUAUUUUUCUUGAGAAUCAGACUCGUCCCUCAGCUCUCAGUCUAACGGCCACAAGCUGAGCUGCAGCCCACUGGUCACUGCCAUAGCUCAGGGGUGUCACCGUCCCAGUUUUUAAGAGCCAUCUCCUUCCAACCUUAAAUGCUAGGUAUAUUUUCUUGUCUGCUUUGGAUUGGAAAACCAGAAAAAUGAGUGCUGUAAAGACAAGAUUGCUUGGAAGCGAGGUUUAGUCAGAGACUUUGGGACACUCAUUUGCAUGUCUGCAGGUCUUCGUUUCUUUCUUUCUGUUGGAAUUCAGACUCUGAAUUGUCAGAAACCAGACUUCAAAGUAUUAUUGUAUAACACAGAGUGUGACUUUUAUGCUGUUUUAUUGCAGGGGUUCUUAUUUUCAAAGAGGUUGCCCAGAAAGCCAUUCUUGAUUACUUUAUUUGUAGGGCUCUGAUCCAUUCCAUCUCACCUCCUGAUUUCCGCAGGCAACGUAACUAACAUGAUAACUUCGAGAAAUAAUAGCACAUUUUUUAGGAUAAGGUGAGAGAUUCUUGCUAAUUGCCUUCAUCAUAGGGAUGGGAGCAAAAGUAUAUAGUCAAAUUAGAAAAUUUCUCUCUUCGGCCAAUUUUUCUCUAGAUUUUGAACAGGACUCUGGCCUAACUGGACAUUAGGAAAAAAAUUAAAAGUAUUGUGAAGCUAUUUAUAUUAAUUUAAGUGUUCAGAAAAGUAAUAUCCGAGCAUCUUUUCUCCCUUGCCCCAAAAGGAGAAAUCAGUAUAAUUCACAACCUGUGGUAGUCAGGAUAGGGAUUACGUUGCAAUUUACCUUUUCCCUCUCUCUGAAAAUAGGAUUUCUAAGCAAACUAAUAGUGUUAAGAUUUUUGAGGGGAGGGAGCAAGGAGAACCAUGUUUAACCUAUAAGAGGGGGAAAGAAAACUUUUAAAAUAUUUUAAAAUACACAUAUCUGAUAAGCUACUGAUAAUUCUUAUUUAUUUUGAAGCCUCUGCUCAAGAAACUCUUACUUAUUAACACUUGGAAAUCUCAGUUCAAACUACAUACAAAUAUUCUAUGAUUCAUACUUUCAGCUAAUUCAGUUUGGUUGUCUCUUUCCCAGUUCGUCUGAACUGGUGAAAUUUUACAAAAUAAGCAUGGGUAGCUUCCUAGAGUUACAUUUUUACUUGUUUAUUUGUUAAUUUUUGUAACAUGUUUAUGUGACAAAAAAAAGUAAGUGCUAGGUCUACUUGUUAUAGAUUAUUUUUGGACAAAGAGAGUUUGCAAGAAACUGUCGGUUUUACAGCAGCCAAGUUACUGGGGACUAAAGCAGAAGUUCAGGAAUAGACUGGUCUUCAACCAGUUUUCCACAACAGCAUCUGCGGACAUGGUUAAUGAGUUCUGAAAUUCAUUCACAUGGCUAAUCUUUUAGGAAUCUCAUAACCUUGCCUGACCUUUCCAUAAUCACGAGAGAAAAACCUUGGCAAAAUUAGAACCAGUCGUCAGGUCCUGUUUUCCUUUCUUCUACUCAUUUUCUUUCUUUCUUUUUUUUUGGUAUUGGAACAAUCAAAAGACUCCACGUUUUUAAAUUCCUUGGAAGACUAACGAUUGAAUAAUUUUCUCACUCUCUGUUUGCACUUUCACAGUCUGGUUGCAUUGAUUUGUGUCUCAUAAGUAGAUAUUUCCUUUGCUGGUUACAAAUCAAUGCUAUAGAACAAACCUGCCAGCACAUUCCCAUCUCCCCACCACCCUCACCUCCCUGCAGUUUGAAAAACAGAGCGCAGUUUUCUUUUAAAAAAUUAGUUUCAUUGGUUGGUAACAUACUAAAAGAAGAGAAAGCCCAAGAGUUUAAAAAAAAAAAAAAUCCGUGGGAAAAGGAGCGCCUCCCAAGUGGGUCUCUGCUGCUUUCUCAGCGCCUGGAGCAGAGGACCGCUUAGUGGGAGAGCAGCGCUCGUCUGCCCUCCGCUUCCGGUGUGUGCUCUGUUAACCCAACUAAGGUCCUCACCUUCAUACAUCACAAGGCUGCCCAAAGCCACACACUGUGAUGUCACAGUCAGAUAUGAUUUCAUGGCCGGAAAAAACAAAAAGGCAGAAAAGGUUGAAUGUAUUUUCCUUUUAUUCAAAUCUUCUAAGAGGGGGCAAAAGGGAAGAUGAUUUUUUUUUUCCCUAAGAGAAAAAGAGGACAAGCUUUCUCCCGUGAAUGUGAAAACUCCAUUCUGAAGAUUCCCCGGUGCUGUUACCCCAAGUGGAUAAGCACGAAUAAAGAAGCACAAAGAAGUACCCUCAUCAAUCCCAAUGCUCUCGCCACCGCUCAGCUACAGGUAGAGAGCAAGCAGGCACCAUUUGAUUUACCUAGAUUAAAAGAGCAAUUUUCCGUCCUCUUUUUUUCCUUUUAAAAAUAGCCAAUCGAUUUUGGCCUCGCUAUGGCUGACUGUACCAGGGCCAUUUUGAUACAUCGCUGAUUAAAUAGUGUGCUCAUGGCUGAAGGCAUGACAGCAGGAACAGGCAGAAGCUGCCGAAGGAAUGGGGAUGGGAGACCACAGGCCCCAGCUCCAGAAAGCCUGCUGGCUGACACUGCAGCGGAUGCUCCACGAGGGCCCGACCGCCAGCCCUUCGCCAGCGGACUGCCGAUAGCACAUUCUAGACUUGAACUUGGUGGACUAUGAUUCUGGGAGUUUGAAGCCUGCAAUUCAUUUAGCUUUUUAAUUCUGACCUUAAGAAUGAGAGAAAAAAAAUCAAAGUCCUUUGAUUUUUUAAAAAAUACGGAUGGGGGAAAUAUUGCCUCCUAAAUUGCAACGACAGCUGAACUGAAGAUGGGAAUUUGCUUCUCAGGAACAAGCCUAUUUAACUGUUUUUUAUGAAACAGUUACAUUUUCAUCAGUUACAGAGUUAGAGUCUUCUACCAAAAGGGGAUCUAGUCGUUUAGAGACCUUGGUUGCACAAAAAAUUGCACAAAAAAGAAACACAGAAACGAAACAGGUCUUUUAUAGACGGUGACUCUAUGUUGGGAUUCAUCCGCAGCCCUCAGAAAAGUGAGACGGUCUCCACCAGCUCUGGGAAGUAACCAUCUUGAUUACUACGAGAAAGUACAACCUUCACCGAAGUCUGUGUGGCUGGAAAAAUAUCCUAGGGAGGGGCGCUCAGGCCACUCUUCUAGAGCCCCAGCAUCCACAGACGUUUCUUCAGAAAAACGCAGAGUCCACCCGACAGGUGAGGCUGUCGUGCCACAAUGGAUCUGAGGACACGGGAAAUGCAUCUGGGAAUUAGUGAAAUCCAUUUUUAAAAAGUGAACCUACUUUAGUUUUUUUUUUUUUCUUUCAUCUACUGCUUCCUCUCUCCCUUUUGUUCUUUCCCAUUAUUGUUUACUUAAUUUGAAUCCUGGCCUUCACGGGGAUGGAACUGUAUCCAGAGGUACUAUUAAGAUGAGAGAACUAAGGAUCAGAGACGUUCAGAGAGGAAAAGUAAUUUCACAAAGGUCACACAGCUGGUAAGGGGCAGACCUGGCGUUUGAACUCAGGGUUAUCUGCUUCCAAAGCUAUGCGGCCACACUGCUGCUGUUUUCUGCCCAGGAGCCUGAUGUAUUAACAGCUUAAGACAACCAGCGUAACUUGUUAAAGCUAUAUGAAGUCUUGUUCUCCAUUUCCCUCGUUAUCUAAACUGUGUGUACGGUAGCUUCUUGCCAAGAACCCAUGUGAACAUCUACAGCUUUACAUUAAGAUGUCUUCAGCUCUCAUUAAGAGGGAACGAAAGAAGCAAGCAGAUCAUGAGAAAGUAAAGACAGAUGGCUAGCAACACAUGCAGUUCUGGAUUACUAUAGACUACCACAGACUACAACGUAUAUUAACAGCAACUCUUUCUUCUCUAUUAGCUCAUCUAAAGACUCAUUCUUAGUUUCCCUAAUCUAAACUGACAUAUUUCAAUAAAAGUAAUGUCAAAGAAGUGAAUGAAUAUCAUGGACUCCAACCACCCCCUUGGCUUACUAAUUCUAAUGUUGAAUGGGUUAUCAAAAUGAAAGAUGAGAAAUGCAAGAAAUAUCUGGGCGGUGGGGAGAAAUAUCUGAAGAGGGGGAGAGAAAUUAGAGAAAAUCCAG
ensembl:lncRNA